CCUGUGUUUCUUUACAAGGUUUGAAGGAGAAGUUCUGCAGGACUUUGACAAGGGCAAGUUUCAUGCUCGUGGUCGCAAACCUCAUCCCAAUGCAGUUUCGGGGCCCAGUUCCAAAAGGCAGUAUCUGUGCUCAAAGCUGAUUCCUCUUCAGCACACCACAGAACACCAACACCCUGUUCUGCACUGCCAGGAACACCAUCCUUUCUUCCCUACACCCCUGCUAAGGCUCCUGAAAGACCCACUCUGUCUCAUCUCCACUGAACUGGGAUUGCUCUGAGGACUCACUCAUUUCUGGAAAAUGUGAGCUACCUCUUCGUGGCUAGCCCAUCGGAGUUUAACACCACACGCCUACUUCAGCUUGUUUGCUGGAGUAACUCAACAGUGAGAACUGGGCUUUAUGGCAGCAGCUGGAAAGUGUCAUGACAGAGUUGGAAUCCCAGCAACUGGACUCCUACUUACUCUUUCAAGUUGAUAGGUUUGCCUUUCUCUGCCUCCUUCCUCAGGUUCCUCACCAACAUAUCUCCGUACUGGCCAAUGAUGGGGAACAUCUAUACACAAAAUAUACCACCACCUGAAGUUAAAUUGGAAAAUCAAGUCCCAGAAUGAUCUGGCUUUCACAAACAUGGAGCAGUAUGGGACUUU